rnacentral:lncRNA from 10 species
CAGCUUUACCUGCCUCUUAUUGUUCUCCUUCGCCUAGAGAAUGCUGAGUGUAACAAUGACCCCAGGAAUUCAAGCCAAGGAGCCCAAGAGGGGCCAGAUGGCGCCUUCAUUCCUGGUGCCAGAACUGUGGCGUUUCUCUGAAUGUAAGACUUUCACGCAGACUCUAAAAUAUUAUCACCAAGUGGCUUUCAUUUUCAUGGUCUCCAGAUGGCUGCUGCAUCCCCAGGUGUCAUGGAGGAGGGAGUGAGGCUGAAAGGCAGAGAAUCUAAAAUAUUCCUGGAAAUGGAGAGUCCUGACAUGAUGGCCCCAUGAUGAAAAGAACCCAGGUUCCUGAGUCACGACGUGGACAUGAGGCACCAAGGAGAAAACACGUGAACCUUAAUAAGUUUGGGGUGAGAGAGAAAUAAACCUUAAGUAUGUUAAGCUUCUGUCAUUUCAAGGUAAUACAGUGUGGAAGGCAGAAAAAUGACCCACUCUCCCCUGAUAUCCAUUAAAGAUGUCCAAA